AGACGGAGAGUUAGUGUGUCUGUGUUAUAUUUUAUUGUAAUAACGCAAGAUAUAAUUUGCCUCCUUCCUAGCUACAAAAACUGUAUUGAGAAGAAGUCUAUGCAAAUUUACAGCAUUGUGGUUGAUAUUGCAACUUACACGGUGUGAUUCUCCUCCCAACCGCCAUGAUAAAAAGUAUGAUGGGCCUUUGGAUUGAUAUAUACAUGUAUUUUUGCAUUUGAAUCAAAUAGAAAUGCAGAAAAUUAGGCAAAAUUUAGUUAUCAAUCAGUCCAAACUCAUGAGACAGUGGAUGCCAACCAGUAUGCAGUUCUUUAAACAAGUUGCCAUGAAUAUGGG